GCGCCCGUAGCUCAGUUGGAUAGAGCGUCUGCCUCCGGAGCAGAAGGUCGGGGAUUCGAGCUCCUUCGGGCGCGCCA
rnacentral:tRNA from 1 species